AAGUGCUGGGAUUACAGGUAUGAGCCACUGAGCCUGGCCGGGUUGUGCACAUAUUUUGUUGUUUAUUACUAGGUGCAUCAGUUUCAUUUCAAAAAUUAUAUAAUUUAACUUUUCAUUGUUGGUUAGAGAAAUGCAAUUGAGUUUUGCAUGUUGAUUUUAUAUCUAGUCACGUUGCUAAAUAUUUUCUAAUCAAUCCUAAUAAUUUACAGAUUAUUUUGGCUUUUUUUUUUUUUUUGAGAUGGAGUUUUGCUUCUUCGCCCAGGCUGGAGUGCAGUGGUGCAAUCUCGGCUUACUGCAACCUCUGCCUCCCUCCCAGGUUCAAGCAAUUCUCCUGCCUCAGCCUCCCAAGUAACUGGGAUUACAGGUACGUGCUAGCAUGCCCAGCUAAUUUUUGUAUUUUUAGUCGUGAUGGGGUUUCACCAUGUUGGCCAGACUGGUCUCGAACUGCUGACCUCAAGUGAUCCACCCACCUUGGCCUCCCAAAGUGCUGGGAUUACAGGCGUGAGCCACUGCACCCGGCCUAUUUUGGCCUUUUCCAUGUAAGUCAUCAUAUCAUCUGUGAAAAAUGACAGUUUAAUUUCCUUCUUUCUAAUCUUUAUGUCUUUUAUAUACGUUUUUCUUGCCUUGAUGCACUAGUUCAAAUACAGUGUUGAUCAGACUCAGAGAUAUUCGGCAUCUUCGUAUUCCUGAUUUUAGAGAAUCUAAUGAGAUCUUACAUUCUUUUCAAGGAUCUGUAUUUGUUUUAACAAAAAGCUUUCAUCUGUAGAUUAUUUUCUUUAUGAUUUCUACAGUGAUUCACUUCUUUUUACUUUUGAAAAUUCUUUUACUUUUUAAAAUUGCAUGGUCCUUGGUCGCCAUUGUACUUUUUAUGGUCGUUCUGGGUUAUCCUACAUUGUGGAUUCUUCUUAUCACACAGUUUUCAAGGAACCCCCAGGGGACCACCCUCAUGCUGUUCCCUACCCCACCUCAGAAGGAAAAGGGGUACAGUAGGUCAGGCUCUCCCUAAGCCACCUUGUCUCCUCAUACUCUACCUGUAUGUUAUAACAAACCAGGCAAUGAACACACAUGUGGUCCUUUCCUGAAGGGCCAGACCCUCUCAUAAAAGUGUAACAAAGCAGGGAGAAGAAGGAGUGAAGCGCUAUCUCUGUACUGACCAAUAUGGUAGCCCUUGGCCACAUGUGGCCAUUAAGCACUUGAAAUGUGGCUAAUGUAACUGAGAAAUGGAAUUUUAAUUUUUAUUUAUUUUUAAUUAAUUUUAUGUUUAAAAAUGUAUACAUUUAAGUAUUCAGUUCAGUUAUUGGAAAAUAUGUUAAAAUGUUUGAAAUAAGUUGCAUACCUGAAUCUACUUUUCCAGGCUGAGCCUGGUGGCUCAGGCCUGUAAUCUCAGCUUUGAGAGGCCGAGGCAAGAGGAUCAUUUGAGGCCAGGAAUGCAAGGCCAGCCUGUCCAACAUAGAAGGACCUUAUCUCUGACAUGAAUGAAUGAAUGAAUGAAUGAGUAAAUAAAUAAAUAAAUCUACUUUUUCAAUUGUAAAUUUUAUGUAGUCUAAACCAGAUCAAGGAUGUCCCAUGAAAACUUAGCAUCUGAAUAGAGAUGUACUAUAAAUGUGCAAAAUACAGAUCGCAUUCUAAAGACAGUGCAAAAAAAGAGAAUGUAAAAUGCCUCAUUUUUGUAUUGAUUACAUGUUGAAAUGACAAUAUUUUGAAUAUUCUGGUUUAAAUAAAGUAUGUUGUUAAAAUUAAUUUCACCAGGCUGGGCAACAUGGCAAAAACCCAUUUCUACAAAAAAUAUAAAAAUUAGCCAGGCAUGGUGGCAUAUGCCUGCAGUCCCAGCUACUUAGGAAGCUGAGGUGGGAGGAUCGUUUGAGCCUGGGAGGUGGAGGUUGCAGUGAGCUGAGAUCAUGCUAUUGUAUCCCAGCCUGGGCAACAGAACAAGACCCUGUCUCAAAGAAAAAGAAAUUAAUUUCACCUUUUUUUUUUCUAACUUUUACAAACUGUCGCUACUAAAAAAUUUAAAAUUAUAUGUGUGGCUGGCUUAUAUAAAAUUUUAUCUUGGCUCGCACAUGUAAUCUCAGCACUUUGGAAAGCCAAGGCAGGAGGAUCAUCUGAGCCCAAGAGUUCAAGAUCAGUCUGGACAACAUAGUGAGACUCUGUCUUUCCAAAAAAUUUUUAAAAAUAGCCAGAAACGGUGGCCUUUGGUCUCUCAGCUAUUCUGGAGGCUGAUGUAGGAGGAUCACUUGAGCCAGGGAGGUUGAGGCUGCAGUGAGCCAUGAUAGCGCCACUGCACUCUAGCUUGGGUGGCAGAGCAAGAUCCUGUCUUUAAAAAAUUAAGUUUUCUCCAGAAAUUUUCUUUAAAAUUUGUUAACCUAUUUCCCAACUAAAAACAAUUUUAAAAUUUACAUUUAUGUCUAUUGGGCAGUGCUGGUAUAGCUAAUCUAGAUGCUUCUCUCUCCCACACAUGUCCUCCCCCAUGGCUUUGUCAUCUUUGAUUUACUCUCUAUUGAUUCCCCUCUCCAAGCUUUUCAGUCUGAAAACCCACCUUCUCCUGGAAAACAGCAUCCCUUUCCUCAGGGGGAGGAUUCUCCCAUGGAUUCUUCCCCACAUUCUAUAAUGCCUAGGAUUUCACCCAGAAAGGUGAAAAAGUUCUGGAG
rnacentral:lncRNA from 10 species